rnacentral:rRNA from 1 species
GAUGAACGCUCGCUACAGGCUUAACACAUGCAAGUCGAGGGGAAACGAUGAGAGAGCUUGCUCUCUUAGUCGUCGACCGGCGCACGGGUGAGUAACGCGUAUCCAACCUGCCUCUGACCAAGGGAUAACCCGUCGAAAGUCGGACUAAUACCUUAUGCAGUCGUCGGAAGUCAUCUGAUGACGACGAAAGAUUUCAUCGGUGAGAGAUGGGGAUGCGUCUGAUUAGCUUGUGGGCGGGGUAACGGCCCACCAAGGCGACGAUCAGUAGGGGUUCUGAGAGGAAGGUCCCCCACAUUGGAACUGAGACACGGUCCAAACUCCUACGGGAGGCAGCAGUGAGGAAUAUUGGGCAAUGGGCGUAAGCCUGAACCAGCCAAGUAGCGUGCAGGAUGACGGCCCUAUGGGUUGUAAACUGCUUUUAUGCGGGGAUAAAGUGAGGGACGUGUCCUUCAUUGCAGGUACCGAAUGAAUAAGAACCGGCUAAUUCCGUG